CCUUGUUCUUGCUCUCGCUCUCUCAAAAUAAAUAAAUAAACAUUAAAAAAAAAAGGUGAUUUUCAGACUCUGGGAGAGGCUAGUCACAGUUAUUUUGGUCAAUGAUAAUUACUUGCAAGUUUCCUUCCAUAAAUGGACAUAAUCUUACUUAGCUGAAAAGAAUGGUGCCUUAGAGGCUUGUUAAAGAAUUAGAAAUCUUGUCACUGAUGACUGUACAAAUCCAGGACUACAGGGCCUAGCCAGUACCCCAAGAAUCAGUCACACCCCUUUACUCUCACCACAUAUAUUCUGGGAGAAAUACCCAGGGCUCCCCUACAUGCGCAUUUCACACCAAGACAUCAGGUCCUAGCCAGGGGUACUUUUGUCCUCCUUCUAUUUGAUGCUCAUUCACCCUUUCUAAACAUUCUUCGUAUAGUGUAUAAUUGGGGCUAAAUCAGCUCCUAAUCCACAGACAUUCCUUAAUCCAGGGGUACACUUUUAUACUUACUGGGCUUCACAGAUAACUCAGUGCCUUGUCCGAAGAUAAGCUUUCCUCCCUGGUUAUAAUUCACACUGUGUUACAUAUCCUGUCAAAAACACAUCCAAUCUUCUGAACACAUUUCUAAUCCUCUCCCUCCAAACCCACAGCAGACCUCUUCUCACACCAUAGCAUGAAUUGUGGCUAUACUUAUUGUAACUUUUUUUCUUAUAAGGGGAAUAAAGUACUUACACAGGGGACUGAUAGAGAAUAAUGAGAAUUCCUAUUUAUCCGAAAAUGUUUCUAUCCAAACGGAUUUCUCGUGUUUGUUUAAUGGCUCUGGGUAUUGCUGCUCAGGGAAAUGGCUUCCUUUCAAGUAUGUUUCUUGUGGUAUCAGCUAGAAAUACUUGGCACACAGGGGUUAAAAAAUUAAGGGCAGGUGAGACUCUGGGGAAUCAGGUGUACCCGCAGUGACCACAACCUGGGUCCCUGCUCCAAAAUUCAAUUUCCACCAGCCAUCAGUUGUCACACUGGUGACAAACGCUUCUACAAAAUGGCUUCCCCCGAGAAGACAGCUGGUAAAUGAAGACAAACUGCUCAUGGGGAAACAAUCUUGCUACAAAAUGAGCUGGUAUCACGAACCACCAACACAAACCAAGCAAAAAAAACACCACCUGUGUUUUGACAGCUUCCGCGUGAUGGAAGACAGGCUUCUUGGGAAGAAUAAUUAGCCAGAAAGAAGAACUUACUUGGUGUGACCAUGAGCUUGGUGCCUUUCCCGAAUGUGAGUUGGUAACUCCCAACCCUAGAGUCUACCCAGAGUUUCCUUUCUUUGCAAAAUCCCUGCAGAAGCUGAGAAAAUGAAACCACUCACAGCACAAGGAGCAGUGCUGACAGAAGUUCAGACUGUCACAGUAACCAGAUGACAGGCAGAAGAGCUGUGACAGAGGCUGGCCAUGGGGUGGACCAUCCCUUGGAGUCCUAGAGACAUGGCUGGCUUUCAGAGGCCAUCCAGUUCAUCCUCCCAUCUUCUGCCAAGGUGUUCUCUGACCAAAGACCUAUCCAGUCUUUAAGAGCUCCUGGGAAGGUGGUUCUCCUUUGCCAACAGCUUUUGCAUUCAAGAAACUGUGCCUUAUCUAAUUGAAAUCUGCAAACUGCAGCCCGAGUUCUUUGUGUCUCUAGCCUCCCUCCUUGAAGGAAAUUUCGCGUCAACAGACUCCAAACAGAAACUCAUCACGACGUACCACACUAGUCCCAGUGGUUGUUUCUGGGGAGCAAACUGAUACUGAAGGAAAUGGAUCAAGGUGAAUAUUGGCUUUAUCUGUAAUUUGAAUUGUUUUUACCAUGAGACAUCUUCAUGUAUUUCUUAGACAAAUUUAAAAUUAAUAACAACAUUAAAUAUUUUAAAUGGC